AGUGAACGCUGGCGGCAGGCCUAACACAUGCAAGUCGAACGGCAACACAGUAAGAGCUUGCUCUUACGGUUGGCGAGUGGCGGACGGGUGAGGAAUACAUCGGAAUCUACUUUUUCGUGGGUGAUAACGUAGGGAAACUUACGCUAAUACCGCAUAUGACCUACGGGUGAAAGCAGUGGAUCUUCGGACCUUGCGCGAUUGAAUGAGCCGAUGUCGGAUUAGCUAGUUGGCGGGGUAAAGGCCCACCAAGGCGACGAUGCGUAGCCGGUCUGAGAGGAUGAUCGGCCACACUGGAACUGAGACACGGUCCAGACUCCUACGGGAGGCAGCAGUGGGGAAUCUUGCACAAUGGGCGAAAGCCUGAUCCAGCAACGCCGCGUGAGUGAAGAAGGUCUUCGGGUCGUAAAACUCUUUUAUUGGGAAAGAACAGAAGCAUAUUAAACCACGGAUGUCUUGACGGUACCUAAUCAGUAAGCCACGGCUAACUUCGUG
rnacentral:rRNA from 1 species